rnacentral:misc_RNA from 1 species
GGUUGUUGCAAUUAAUUGUUCUACUCUACCAUUUGUCCUCAUAAAAGUUGAAAUUUGAUAGGGAGUUUGAUUUUGUAGAUUCUAAUUUUGAGUUAAGACCAAUUCAAAGGUGAUAUCCUUCAUUCUCUCUCAUCACAAGACACUAGCUAUAAACAAAAAGACAUUCUCUCCUCUCUCUGCAAAUAUAAGCACAUGCCCGAGCUAAGAACAAUUAACCAGCUACCAACCAAUUGAGCUAAGAACAAUUAACCACCUACCAACCAAUUAAUCAUUUG